rnacentral:rRNA from 1 species
UACGGAGGGGGCUAGCGUUGUUCGGAAUUACUGGGCGUAAAGCGCACGUAGGCGGCUUUGUAAGUUAGAGGUGAAAGCCCGGGGCUCAACCCCGGAAUAGCCUUUAAGACUGCAUCGCUUGAAUCCGGGAGAGGUGAGUGGAAUUCCGAGUGUAGAGGUGAAAUUCGUAGAUAUUCGGAAGAACACCAGUGGCGAAGGCGGCUCACUGGACCGGUAUUGACGCUGAGGUGCGAAAGCGUGGGGAGCAAACAGG